AAGUGACGUUUCUAACCGAACGAAGUGAGGUUAGAAUGCUCACUUUCGGCGCAUGUAGGCAGAAAAAUAUUAUACAUGUUAUACCGGGCAGUUUCACAUUAGGUACUACAUAAUGUACUAUUUUGUGAUAACUGCUGAGUGCACGCUUCGGGACUGCGGAGGGGGCAUCGUGUUCUUAUUUUGGACGGAGCGUUACAAUUCAAGAUCGUGAGUCAAGAUCGUACUUUUCGAGUGCGUGAUGUGAAGUUUUACAUACGAGAAUUUACUUCUUGUACAUUCUCUGCACUUUAUGGACUUUUCAGUUUGACACUUCGAGAUUCACCAGGUGGGGUCCAGCCACACGGCGAUCGAAUCAACGUCCAGUUUUGAGAAAUAAUCAUACAUACAGGCCUUGACGAGAGACGGUAGCUAAUCACUGUCAAGGUCGCUUCCCGAAGGUCAUUUGUUUUCACGAGAUAUUCGCCUACGUUUCGCCUGUUCAGCUGUCUCGGCCGUCACUAAAACAAAAUUUCCAACAUUGUACAAGUUAUGUUUAUUAAAUAUUAAAUAUAAAAGCA